rnacentral:rRNA from 1 species
GAUGAACGCUAGCUACAGGCUUAACACAUGCAAGUCGAGGGGUAACGAGAGGGAAGCUUGCUUUCCUUGUCGACGACCGGCGCACGGGUGAGUAACGCGUAUCCAACCUGCCCCCAACUAGGGAAUAACCUUGCGAAAGUAAGACUAAUACCCUAUAAUUUCCUCAGAUGUCAUCUGACGAGGAAUGAAGAUUUAUCGGUUGUGGAUGGGGAUGCGUCUGAUUAGCUUGUUGGCGGGGUAACGGCCCACCAAGGCAACGAUCAGUAGGGGUUCUGAGAGGAAGGGCCCCCACAUUGGAACUGGGACACGGUCCAAACUCCUACGGGAGGCAGCAGUGAGGAAUAUUGGUCAAUGGGCGGAAGCCUGAACCAGCCAAGUAGCGUGCAGGAUGACGGCCCUAUGGGUUGUAAACUGCUUUUAUACAGGAAUAAAGUUAGCCACGUGUGGUUAUUUGUAGGUACUGUAUGAAUAAGGGCCGGCUAAUUCCGUGCCAGCCGCCGCCGUAA